UGGGUCAAAAGAUAGGUCGUAAACACUGGCGCAGCAUGCGGACGUUGCGCUCGGUGCGCAUGCACGACUGGUCAAGUGGCCUCGCUGCGCAGGGCGUCCCCCCUCUCGACCGCAUGCACAACGAUCUACAGGUGGUUCACGCACGUGGUUGUCUUUUGACAGUGCCCGGGUGUGUAUAUAUAUAAGACGGCGUGCUUACGUCCACGAGGGCCACACAAGCUUCAGCGACGUGUGGGAAUACGGACCCCUCCGAAGGUUUUCAACCGUGGUUUCUCACUCAACACUCGCCUGAAAGAUGAACAGGUCCCUGCUUGUCACAAUCGUCGUCUUGGCUGCCCUUUGCAGUUUGACCGCCGCCCAAUUUGGCUACUACGGUGGUUUUGGACGCGGCUUCGGAUACCGAGGAUACGGUGGUUACCGUGGCUUCGGCGGUUACGGAGGCUAUGGCGGAUACCGAGGCUUUGGCGGUUUCGGUGGCUAUAGAGGCUUCGGACGUGGAUAUGGCUUCUAUGGUUAAGAGACCGGCCGUGCUGAAAUUGGUCCCUACGUGUGGAGAGGCAUGAUGCUGAUGAACAAUAUUUGUAGAUUUUUUUAGGGAAAUACAUGUUUCCAGAGAAGACGAGUGAUGUCAUUGGUUCUUAAGUAUAGAACGGAUUCAAUUUCCUUCGUGCAACAAGCACACAAGAUCUAAUACUGAACUAAAUCACUUCUACUGAUGAGUAGUUAAAUAUCCCAAAGUUUGCUGCAAAUUUAAUCGCGCUCCAUAAGAGAGUUAUAGAACUACCUCUUCUCAACAAAGGGCAAUGAAAAUUACGUGCUGUAAGUAUUCUGGGUGUCUGAAAAGCAAUUGGAUAGCUUGCAAGUGCAACAGCUAAUAAAAAAAGCCUGCAAGCAC